UUUAUAAUUAGAAAAUUAAAUAAAAUAAAAAUUUAAAAAAAAUUUUUUUAAAAGUAUUUUAAUAGGGGUUAAAGUAUUUUUAUUAAGAAUUAAUAAAAAUUUUUAUAGUGAAUUAGUAUUGUAAAAUAAAUUUGAAAUAAUUUAAAUAAAUAAUUAUUUAAAAGUAAAUUUUAUUUAUUGUAUCUUGUGUAUCAGAGUUUAUUAAUAAUUUUUAUUAAAUUUUAAUAAUUUCUCGAAUUUAAAAGAGUUAAUUAAUUAAUAAAUUUAAUGUGGUAAAAUUAUUUUUAAUAGUUAAUUUGAAAUGAAAUGUUAUUCGUUUUUAAAUAUAUCUAGUUUUUUUAGAAAAAAAUUUAAUUUUAAAAUUUAUAUAAUUAAUAUUAAAUAAUUUUAAUAUUCUUUAAUUAUGAAUUUUUAUAAUUUAAGGGAUAAGCUUUAAAUUAAAUUUUUAUAAUUAAUUAUAAAUUUUAAUUAAAAAUUUUAUAUUUUAUAUUGAUAAUAAAUUUUAUUUUGUUAUAAAUAAUUUUAAUUAAAAUAAAAUUUUAACUUAAUUUAAUUUUUUAUAAAAAUAUAAAUUAAAAUUAUUUAAAUUUAGUUAUAAUGAUAAAAUUAGUAUAUUGAUUUAUUAUAAGAUUAUUUAUUUAUUAAUAAUUAAUUUAAAGGAAUUAGGCAAAAAAUUAUAUUCACCUGUUUAACAAAAACAUGUCUUUUUGAAUUAAAUUUAAAGUCUGAUCUGCCCACUGAUAAUAUUAUUAAAGGGCUGCAGUAUUUUUGACUGUACAAAGGUAGCAUAAUCAUUAGUCUCUUAAUUGGUGACUUGUAUGAAUGAUCGGAUGAGAUAUAAACUGUCUCUAAUAUUAAUUUUUAGAAUUUAAUUUUUUAAUUAAAAAGUUAAAAUAAUUUAAAAAGACGAGAAGACCCUAUAGAGUUUUAUAUUUAUUAAUUUAAAUUAUUUAUUAAAAAUUUUAAUAAUUAUUUUAUUAAAUAUUUUAUUGGGGUGAUAAAAAAAUUAAAAUAACUUUUUUAAAAAAAAUUAAACAAGUAUAAUUGAUUGCUUGAUCCAGUAUUACUGAUUAUAAGAAAAAAUUACCUUAGGGAUAACAGCGUAAUUUUUUUUUUUAGUUCAAAUAAGAAAUAAAGUUUGCGACCUCGAUGUUGGAUUAAGAUAAAAUUUAAAUGCAAAAGUUUAAAAUUUUUGAUCUGUUCGAUCAUUAAAAUCUUACAUGAUCUGAGUUCAAACCGGUGUGAGCCAGGUUGGUUUCUAUCUUUUAUUAAUAAAAAUAUUUUAGUACGAAAGGAUCAAAUAUUUUAAUUAUAUUAAUUUAAAAAGAAUUUUAAUAAUUUUAAUUUAUAUUUUUAUUAUUAUUAUUUAUAAAAAUUAGGUAAAUUUAAAUAUAAAUUUUAAUUUAUUUAAAA
rnacentral:rRNA from 1 species